GGACGUUGGUGCUGCCGCUGCUGCCACCCGCUGCAAAAAGUCAAUAUAGAGCAUUGAGUUUAUGUAUAUAUGUAAGUGCAUGUAUAGAGGGCAGUAAGAGAG